GACGAACGCUGGCGGCGUGCUUAACACAUGCAAGUCGAACGGAAAGGCCCUGCUUUUGUGGGGUGCUCGAGUGGCGAACGGGUGAGUAACACGUGAGUAACCUGCCCUUGACUUUGGGAUAACUUCAGGAAACUGGGGCUAAUACCGGAUAGGAGCUCCUGCUGCAUGGUGGGGGUUGGAAAGUUUCGGCGGUUGGGGAUGGACUCGCGGCUUAUCAGCUUGUUGGUGGGGUAGUGGCUUACCAAGGCUUUGACGGGUAGCCGGCCUGAGAGGGUGACCGGCCACAUUGGGACUGAGAUACGGCCCAGACUCCUACGGGAGGCAGCAGUGGGGAAUAUUGCACAAUGGGCGGAAGCCUGAUGCAGCAACGCCGCGUGCGGGAUGACGGCCUUCGGGUUGUAAACCGCUUUCGCCUGUGACGAAGCGUGAGUGACAGUAAUGGGUAAAGAAGCACCGACUAACUACGU
rnacentral:rRNA from 1 species